rnacentral:misc_RNA from 1 species
GGUAAAGUUUGCCUAUCCCUGCAUUUGUUAACUAUUAACGUCAUAUUCAGUAAGAAUAGUUUGUCUUCUUCACGUUUUCUUGUGUGCCAACAAUUGUACAUUAAUGCCAUUGGUUUUGUAUAUUCAUUGAUCUUCCAAAACAAUCUCAUCAUGUUAUAUAUUAGCAUCAGGGAAAACUGUUGAAAUUACUGAUCACAUAAAGAGAGGGUGUACAGGGAUGCGGUGUGUGAGUUUUGUUUGUGUGACGUGAAUGUGUGGUCAAUCAUUUCAUCCCAGAAUAGACAAAUCCUCACACUUCAUGGUUCAACAAUACAUAGUGCAAUUUUCAUGUAGUGCAAGUCUUAUUUAGUAUUCAUUUUACCGUGUGCUAUUGUUUGUAAUUUUUUUUAAUCUAGUUUUAUCCAACACAGUACAGCAGCUUUCUCUGUUAUAAGAGUUGUAUGCACACCAUCAACAGCACUUUACAUUGUGUUUUAAUUUUCAAUACUUACUCAGACUUGUCAAUCUUGUACAUGUAUAACGUAAUAAGAAUGAAGAUACAAAUGUAAAGCUUGCCACCAAGUGUCGUAUUAAUCUUUACAACUUCCUCUGUAAGAUAAUAUUCAUUAUAUAUGAAUCUUCAUUGGAAGCAAUAAUUUGAAGGAUUAAUCCUGAUGAUAGCAAUAAAACAGAAAGUAAGCAGAUUACCACUUGUAUCAAUGUUAUUAUAAUCAGUUUGUUAAAUUCUGUCAUAUUUACUGUUUUUACAAACAGGUGGUACUGAUUAUAUUGCUAGUAGCUUGUGAUGUCAUGUUGUCGGUAAAUGUUGAUAACAGUUAGGACAAUUCUUGAUAUGUUGUGCAUAUAAAAUGCUGGAAUAAAAAAAAAUGUGUAAA